AACGAACGCUGGCGGCAUGCCUAACACAUGCAAGUCGAACGGGAUCCGAGCUUCGGUUCGGUGAGAGUGGCGGACGGGUGAGUAACGCGUGGGAACCUGCCCAGUGGUGGGGGAUAACUGCGGGAAACUGCAGCUAAUGCCGCAUACGAAGUACAAAUAUAAUAGUAGUACUUGAAAGAAUGCCUCUGUAUAUGCAUUCACUAUUAGAUGGGCCUGCGGGACAUUAGCUAGUUGGUGGGGUAAUGGCCUACCAAGGCAACGAUGUCUAUCCGGUCUGAGAGGAUGAUCGGACACACUGGAACUGAGACACGGUCCAGACUCCUACGGGAGGCAGCAGUGGGGAAUAUUGCGCAAUGGGGGAAACCCUGACGCAGCAACGCCGCGUGAGUGAGGAAGGACUUCGGUCUGUAAAGCUCUGUUAAUGUGGAAAAAUGGUUAGCGGUCUAAUAGGCCGUUGAUUUGAUGGUACACAUAGAGGAAGCACCGGCUAACUUCGUG
rnacentral:rRNA from 1 species